UUUACUCUUUUUGUUGGAAAAUAUUACUAAAUUGUAACGAUAUGUGAAGAGAAGAAUAGCCCCUGCGCAAAGAUGACACGCAAAAUUGUAACGUGUUCUAUAUUUUU
rnacentral:snRNA from 1 species